rnacentral:rRNA from 1 species
GAUGAACGCUGGCGGCGUGCUUAACACAUGCAAGUCGAACGAUGAAGCCCAGCUUGCUGGGUGGAUUAGUGGCGAACGGGUGAGUAACACGUGAAUAACCUGCCCUUGACUCUGGGAUAAGCCUGGGAAACUGGGUCUAAUACUGGAUAUGACUUCUCAUCGCAUGGUGGGGGGUGGAAAGAUUUAUUGGUCUUGGAUGGACUCGCGGCCUAUCAGCUUGUUGGUGAGGUAAUGGCUCACCAAGGCGACGACGGGUAGCCGGCCUGAGAGGGUGACCGGCCACACUGGGACUGAGACACGGCCCAGACUCCUACGGGAGGCAGCAGUGGGGAAUAUUGCACAAUGGGCGCAAGCCUGAUGCAGCGACGCCGCGUGAGGGAUGACGGCCUUCGGGUUGUAAACCUCUUUCAGUAGGGAAGAAGCGAGAGUGACGGUACCUGCAGAAGAAGCGCCGGCUAACUACGUG